AAAUCUGCCAGAAAGUGAUCAGGGCAGUGAUUUGCCCAAAUCACCCAGACAAUCUGCCCAAAUCAGUGAGCAGACAGACAUGACAGAGGGUGAUCUGCCCAAAUCAACAGAUGAUCGGCCCAAAUCACCUAAGCAAACAGACCCUGUCUUGCCCAAAUCACUAGAGCAGACAGACUUGGUAGAGAGUGAUCUGCCCAAAUCACCCAGACAAUUUGCCCAAAUCAGUGAGCAGACAAACAUGACAGAAGGUGAUCUGCCCAAAUCACCCAGACAAUCUGCCCAAAUCAGUGAGCAGACGGACACGACAGAAGGUGAUCAGCCCAAAUCAUCAGUGCAAGCAGAGUUCAAUUUGCCCAAAUCACCAAUGCAGACAGACACAAUAGGCAGUCGAUCUGCCCAAAUCAUCAGCGAUGAUCUGCCCAAAUCAAUCAGCAGACAGCAGGCAGAGUCCCAGAUAGCAGCUGCACCAGAUCUGAAGCCCCUGCCCAGCCACCUCAAAU
rnacentral:lncRNA from 1 species